rnacentral:misc_RNA from 1 species
AAGCUUAAUUAUACUCACAUGAAAACUUGGCUUUUCAGUAGCUGUUACAAAAUAUUACAGUAAUCCAGAUAAAUCUGUGCUCCAUCAUUCUGAUGGAGGACAGGAAACAUCCAAAAAUGAGGACAAACGCUACACACAUAGCACAAACAAGAAACUGUACACAGCUCGAAUAAACACAUGCCUCUAGCAUAUGCCUGAAAUCCUGAAACUGUUUCACAUCCAAGGACUCCAUUGUAUUAACAUUAAAAAAAAUAAUAAAAAUAAAUACAAUACUAACUCAUGCCUAUGCAUGAAGCGGGGAUGCAGAAGGCCGUGGAUAUGCAAUGCGUCCACCAUUGUUCUCCUUGUGAGUAAUUGGAUUGUUCUCUUUUUUAUUUGAUUCUUGAA